GUAUUUGUCAAGGGUGCGCAAGAAAAGCAUGGAAUCGAACGCGCGAAGGCACUUGAUGUAUUCUCG
rnacentral:tRNA from 1 species